rnacentral:rRNA from 1 species
UACGUAGGGUGCGAGCGUUGUCCGGAAUUAUUGGGCGUAAAGAGCUCGUAGGCGGCCUGUCGCGUCGGAUGUGAAAACCCGGGGCUCAACCCCGGGCCUGCAUUCGAUACGGGCAGGCUAGAGUUCGGCAGGGGAGACUGGAAUUCCUGGUGUAGCGGUGAAAUGCGCAGAUAUCAGGAGGAACACCGGUGGCGAAGGCGGGUCUCUGGGCAACAACUGACGCUGAGGAGCGAAAGCGUGGGGAGCGAACAGG